CACCCGUACAUUUGUUUCCGUGCUUGACUUCAAAGCUCAAUCACGGCACAAUAUAUGGGUCGC
rnacentral:pre_miRNA from 1 species